rnacentral:rRNA from 1 species
GACGAACGCUGGCGGCGUGCUUAACACAUGCAAGUCGAACGGAAAGGCCCUGCUUUUGUGGGGUGCUCGAGUGGCGAACGGGUGGGUAACACGUGAGUAACCUGCCCUUGACUUUGGGAUAACUUCAGGAAACUGGGGCUAAUACCGGAUAGGAGCUCCUGCUGCAUGGUGGGGGUUGGAAAGUUUCGGCGGUUGGGGAUGGACUCGCGGCUUAUCAGCUUGUUGGUGGGGUAGUGGCUUGCCAAGGCUUUGACGGGUAGCCGGCCUGAGAGGGUGACCGGCCACAUUGGGACUGAGAUACGGCCCAGACUCCUACGGGAGGCAGCAGUGGGGAAUAUUGCACAAUGGGCGGAAGCCUGAUGCAGCAACGCCGCGUGCGGGAUGACGGCCUUCGGGUUGUAAACCGCUUUCGCCUGUGACGAAGCGUGAGUGACGGUAAUGGGUAAAGAAGCACCGGCUAACUACGUG